GCGUCAAUAGCUCAGUUGGAUAGAGCAAUGGUCUUCUAAACCAUCGGUCGCGGGUUCGAACCCCGCUUGACGCA
rnacentral:tRNA from 1 species